CAGUUCCCAUAUGAUCCCUGUAGUUAAGCAACAUUGAUCCUGGUCAGUACUUAGAUGGGUGACCACUUGGGAAUACUAGGUGCUGUAAU